AUUCAAUCUAUAACAGUGAAAAAAGUUUUUUGUUUUUAAAUGCAAGCUAUUGUGACACCAGAUAUGAGUGGUGGCACUGGGCACCGUAUCCACUGUGAGCUUAACACACCCGCUUUAAGGACACUGACUGCUAUUCAAUCUAUAACCGUGAAAAAAGUUUUUUGUUUUUAAAUGCAAGCUAUUGUGACACCAGUGAGUGGUGGCACUAGGCACCGUAUCCACUGUGAGCUUAACACACCCGCUUUAAGG